AUCUGGGGAAAAAAACCAAAAACAGCAAACAUACCAUACGACACACAAACCAGAGACAAUGGCAGGAGAGUGUCCUGUACAGAAAGAUGUGGCUGUCCAUAAAGACUUAGAACUGAAAACGGCCACAGCAUUUACUUUGUGCUUCUUGGCAGUUUUGGCAGAGCCAGUGUCGAUGUCACUCUUGGUUGUGACACCUACUUCUGGUCCUGCAAAAAGCCCUAGAAGGGAUGGAGGUUUAUUCUGACUUGAGUAGACUGUUUGGAGGUCAAAAACAAAACAAAAAACCCUCCCCUCAUACUUCUGACAACUUAAACUCUUUGCCCCAGUGAGAUCCCAAAUUACAUGCACAGGGUGUCCCACAUGCCUCUGGUGAUACCCAAGAAGAACUUGAAGAACCAUCCCUUAUAACUUGAUGAAGACUCCUAAAAGCCCUGAUUCAGAUGUAUUCAUCACUCAUUGAACAACUAUGGAUGGCUGGGGGCACAACUAGAUGGACGUACGUUACAUUGUGCCUCAUGCCUCACAGAUCCCAGCACGUGGACUGUGUACAGGGCAUUUCUGCUGAAGCGCUAUGUCUGAUUUUCUGCAUACGGCCCCAUUCCUUUUCCACAAGAGAUGCCUGUACCAACCCAUGGUGGGGGAAAGGACAAAGAUGAGAUCCUGAGCAACUUGAGGAAUAUGGUAAUGGCAGCAGACACAUUCCCCUUGCAUCACAAUGGUCUGUGGUACCGCCUCUGCACCUUGGCCCAAGACCUAACAGCCACAAAAUAAGGGUAAGGCAUGCAGAAUCGUCCAGUUAACGGAGGAGGUCCCCAGGAUCCAGACUGCCCUGCAGAACAGAAGUGACAGCUACAUCCAUAUGCCAGACAAGAGAACCAAUACCAAAAGCAGCUGUAACCCAGAGAAGAAGGUGUCAGCACCUGCCACCUUCUCUGCCACCAGGAUCCAAGAGAAUAGCAUCAGUACCUGAAAACUCUGUCCGUGCCACUGGAUACCACCUACAGCUUGGGGUAGUAGAUACAAGAGGUUAACCUACUGCCACCACACAUCACUGCCCACGUCUGUGGAAGAAAAUGGCAAGGGUCCUGUCCUAGAGGGUUAACAGAAGUAAUUACAGAUUAAUGAAGUAGCAUUCUCCAGACAGGCAGCCAUCGAUGUCCAGGUUCACCCUGCAUCCCUCCUCUACAGCGACUCCAGAUGCUCUGCUUUUGCUAUAUUAAGAACACAAAAAAAUGAGUGGGAAUACACGGCUCAUAUUCUGCUCAUGGAAUCACAGCCACUCCUGGCAAAAUAUUCUGCAGCCAGACCCUCACUGUGCCUCCUCUGCUCUUCUCCCUGAGAAAGGAGUCUUCCCUCUUGAAGUGUUGUCAAAGGCCUCGGAGACCUCUGGGCAGUGGAGGAUGCCUGGAAUCUUGCAGGGGAAGGAGAGUCUUCUGUGAAGAAUGAGUUACUUGUGGUGAAUGUCUACAAAGCUCAGAUGUGUUCAUCUUAAUUCAUAGGGAAUUCUGACUUUAAGCAUACUACAGGACACAGAGUCAUUAUGUGCAAUGGAAAAAAAGAGGGAGAAAUUCACAUAACAGAUUUCAUGCAAGUGUUUUGGUAUAAAACUGGUAUGUGUCAUGAGACUAUAUCAGCUCUAACAGUGACUGGGGACACAACCAGAAACUGCUCAUAGAAACACAAUUGAAGGACACAGUGUUCAAAUUGUUUUUACCUAAGGUAUAGCUGGAGGAUUCCAGACAAGUCAUUUACCAACAAAGACAGAAAGGUGAUGAGUGAUGACAUUGGCUUUCUCUAUGACCACUCUAAAUGGCACAGGGCACAUAAUAAAAAGUUGGAGUCAUGA